GAAAAAGCUAAGAUAGCUUCCAAAAAGUUGGGGGUGCUCAAUAGGGUGAGACGGUAUUUCACGCCAGAAAACCGCCUGAAACUGUAUAAAGCUCAAGUGAGGCCACACAUGGAAUACUGUUCUCACCUGUGGGCAGGAGCGCCACAGUACCAACUCCUUCCGUUAGACCGCAUUCAAAGUCGGGCAGCUCGAAUUGUUGACGAUCGGCGUCUUACUGUCCGGCUCGACCCACUGAAACUGCGUAGAGAUGUUGCAUCUCUGUGCAUCUUCUACCGAAUUUAUCAUGGGGAGUGCUCUGAAGAAUUGUUCGGAUUGAUACCUGCUGCAGAUUUUCACCAUCGUACAACCCGCCAUAAACUAAAAUUUCAUCCCAACCAUCUGGACGAGUGGCGGUCCUCCACCGUGCGUUUUUCAAGGCACUUUCUUCCACGCACAACCACUCUUUGGAAUCAACUUCCAGCAACAGUAUUUCCGAACCGAUACGACAACAUAACCUUCAAGAAAAGAGCAUAUUCCUUUUUAAAAGGCCGGCAGCACACCUGCAAUGCCGUAGGUGUUGUGGGUGACCAUGGGCGGCGGUAGUCACUUACCAUCAGGUGAGCCGCAUGCUCGUUUGCCCCCUGUGUUGUAAAAAAAAAAAAAAACGCAGCUGAUAAACCUCUGCCCUAAAUUACUCUAUGGGUAUAAUAAACCCUAAAUCUAAACAAUGGUUUCAUAACUGUGUGUACUUGUUUGGAAAGUGUUUAGUGAUGCACGUGCGUUAAGUGUACUCGUUGCCUCGUGUUUAGCACCUUUAUCUAGGACAUUGACAAGGUUACUAAAUCCUUACAAAUAAUAAGUAACCAUCGACUGACUUUAAUAAGUACAGCAAGUGUAAUUAAAUGAUCGUUUGUCUCGAUAUCAACGAGUGAUGUGUAAACGUGAGGAGAAUUUUAAAGAAAGUACACAUUAUGUUUUUUGAAUGGAAGAUAAUGUAGUAAGAAUACUAUCUGUGCUAUCGAUAUAUGCUGAUGGAGCAACGAUGAAGGAUGAUAGAUGAGAUGAUAGCAGGUCAAUUGGCCCAUUGUGACGAAUUUAUCAGGAAAAAACAGCAUAGGGUUCGUCAAAAAGGGCGUAUUAAGGUUUCUUAAGAUUCGGCAACGCGUGCGUGACCUCCUUGGUAUUACAGGCGUCCAUAGGCUACGGUAACUUAGUCACACGAUCGAUUUAAUAUAAUUAUCAACCGACUUCAAACAAGGAAGAAGUUCUCAAUUUCGUUGUAUUUUUUUAUAUUUGUUACCUCAGAACUCUCAUUUACGAACUGAUUUGGAAAAUUCUUUUUUAUCUGAAAGAAUAUAUUUUCAGAUUGGUCUUAUAGAAAUUUUAUCAAAUUCGAUUCACUAGUUUGGUUUUGAAAUCAGAGUAACUAGUUUUGCCACGACAAAAGUCGGUGUUUUAAGAUUUACUUAGUUAACACUUCUUGGAUUUGUUCAGUUUUAGUACAAUUUACUAACUACACCUCUUGCGUUGAACCCUGUGUAGGUCUAGAUUUUUACAGAUACGUCUAAAAUUUUGUAUAAGUUAAACGUUUCUUACAACACAUAAUAAAGUGAAUCAUGCUUUAAACAAGUUGACAAGAAACAUAACUUGUAACUACCUUCCGGAAUAUGUUAUCGCAGUCCAUGAAAGCUUGCAACAUCACAGGCAUCACUUGCGUGUUGCUAAACCUUAUGAUAUGAAGAUCAUGAGUCACCGUACCAAUUAAUUUCUGCAAUAUCCUGCUCUUCAAACUGGAAUACAGCUAUGCAAGCACUAUAUAUAACUGCUUGGUAACAAAUGCAAAUAAGACACAGAAGAAUCACCCACGCAGAUAGCAUUUCUAGGCACUUGUAUAAAGCCGGUCAUGAUUUAGGUUUCUAAAUGUUUGUGGACAAACGAUGUUACUGUGAAUAUUUUCUUCCUUAUUAUGACAUAUCGGUAUAGAUAUUAUACGUGGAAGUGGUUCAAAUUCUAGACAUCAGAGGAUGCCAAUAUCUAGUAGUUAAAGAUUCUAGAUUACACGGUUCACAUGAUAGAAAUGCGUGAUACAAUUUUCAGACCAAGAGCGUAAAAAUACGGAGAGAUGAUUGUGAAAUCAUUAUAAAUAUUAUAAAUAUGAUAUUUAUAAUAAAAUAAACUUUAUAUCAUAGACUUUAAGGUCUAAAUUAGAAUUCAAACUAAUUGCAUCUUAUCAGAAUUUGGGUGCGGAUUUUAUCUUGAUGAUAAGUCGUCUUUUAAAGUUGGGAAUAGGACAAUUAUGUACCGUAGACUUAUUUCAAUACUAUGGAUGCAGCAAAUAAGUAAACAAAAAAAAAAAACAA